ensembl:lncRNA
GGGAAUGGAGAGGGUGUGAGGCAGCUGGAUUCAGGCUGCCAGGAACGGUACCUGUCAGCCUGGCAGCUGUGAGGAUGCAGGGAUGCAGGGGUGCAGGGAUUCAGGGAUUCAGGGAUGCAGGGAUUCAGGGGUGCAGGGAUGCAGGGAUUCAGGGGUGCAGGGAUUCAGGGAUUCAGGGAUGCAGGGAUUCAGGGGUGCAGGGAUGCAGGGAUUCAGGGGUGCAGGGAUUCAGGGAUUCAGGGAUGCAGGGAUUCAGGGGUGCAGGGAUGCAGGGAUUCAGGGGUGCAGGGAUUCAGGGAUUCAGGGAUGCAGGGAUUCAGGGGUGCAGGGAUGCAGGGAUUCAGGGGUGCAGGGAUUCAGGGAUUCAGGGAUGCAGGGAUUCAGGGGUGCAGGGAUGCAGGGAUUCAGGGGUGCAGGGAUUCAGGGAUUCAGGGAUGCAGGGAUUCAGGGGUGCAGGGAUGCAGGGAUUCAGGGGUGCAGGGAUUCAGGGAUUCAGGGGUGCAGAGAUGCAGCGAUUCAGGGAUGCAGGGAUUCAGGGGUGCAGGGAUGCAGGGAUUCAGGGGUGCAGGGAUUCAGGGAUUCAGGGAUGCAGGGGUGCAGGGAUGCAGAGAUUCAGGGGUGCAGGGGUGCAGGGAUGCAGGGAUUCAGGGGUGCAGGGAUGCAGGGAUUCAGGGGUGCAGGGAUUCAGGGAUUCAGGGAUGCAGGGGUGCAGGGAUGCAGAGAUUCAGGGGUGCAGGGGUGCAGGGAUGCAGGGAUUCAGAGGUGCAGGGAUGCAGGGAUUCAGGGAUGCAGGGAUUCAGGGGUGCAGGGAUGCAGGGAUUCAGGGGUGCAGGGAUGCAGGGAUUCAGGGGUGCAGGGAUUCAGGGAUGCAGGGAUUCAGGGGUGCAGGGAUUCAGGGAUGCAGGGAUUCAGGGGUGCAGGGAUUCAGGGAUGCAGGGAUUCAGGGAUGCAGGGAUGCAGGGAUUCAGGGGUGCAGGUAUGCAGGGAUUCAGGGAUUCAGGGAUUCAGGGGUGCAGGGAUUCAGGGAUUCAGGGGUGCAGAGAUUCAGGGGUGCAGGGAUUCGGGGAUACAGGGGUGCAGGGAUGCAGGGAUUCAGGGGUGCAGGGAUUCAGGGAUACAGGGGUGCAGGGAUUCAGGGAUGCAGGGAUUCAGGGAUGCAGGGAUGCAGGGAUUCAGGGGUGCAGGGAUUCAGGGAUUCAGGGAUGCAGGGGUGCAGGGAUGCAGAGAUUCAGGGGUGCAGGGGUGCAGGGAUGCAGGGAUUCAGAGGUGCAGGGAUGCAGGGAUUCAGGGAUGCAGGGAUUCAGGGAUGCAGGGAUUCAGGGAUUCAGGGGUGCAGGGAUGCAGGGAUUCAGGGUGCCACUGGCAGCAAAGCAGAGGACUGUAGUGAAGCUAGAAAGCUGCAGAGCAAACUUCCCUUCUCCAGCCUGCACGGGCAGGAGCUGCAAACACAAAUCAAGCUCCAGACCUGCAAAGCUGGCAGAGGUUUUCCUGCAGGAAGAUUUCCCCUGCCAUGCAAUCCCAAUGGUUUUAAGUGGACUGCAUUACUGUGGUCAUGCCUGCUCUAAUUCCUGCUUUUCUGCCAUGGAUGUCUGGGAGGAAAGGCAUGCAGACACAGCACCCAGCAAUUUUACAAGGAGCAGGAAAAAGGAGCAGGUGCUGAGUGGAGCAACAUGGAUCUGCUUGUGCUUUUCUCAGGAAAGCAGGUCAUGGGGGAGGAGGGGGAGUCAUUUCCCAGCUUUGCUACUGCAAAUGUGUUUAACCAAAGCCACGCUGGUACCCAAACACUCUGCCAGCCCCUCUGGAGCUCAUGCAAAGAGGGAUUGCUAUCAAAACCUUUUAAAGCCACUUUCUGAUAAUGAAAAAGGCUUGCAGAGAUACAAACUGGUGGAAACCUCUCUACUCCCAGCAAUAUUUCUUCAUUAGGCUUUCUCCUCUCUCCUCCCCAUCCUGCAGUAUCUCUGUACAUCUGGAAACAGAAAGGAUAGAGAGUUCCCCAAAAAUUCCAGGCAGUGGACUUGGCUUCUGUUCUGUUCUGUUCUGUUCUGUUCUGUUCUAUUCUAUUCUAUUCUAUUCUAUUCUAUCCUGCAUUCCAUUCCACUCCACUCCAUUCCCAUUUUCAGUGACACCUCUACCUUCAGCCACCCACCUUUCCCAAACUGGACAGAUGUUGCAGCAUCUGUGC